rnacentral:rRNA from 1 species
GACGAACGCUGGCGGCGUGCUUAACACAUGCAAGUCGAACGGUAAGGCCCUUCGGGGUUCACGAGUGGCGAACGGGUGAGUAACACGUGGGUGAUCUGCCCUGCACUUCGGGAUAAGCCUGGGAAACUGGGUCUAAUACCGGAUAGGACCACUGCCUGCAUGGGUGGUGGUGGAAAGCUUUUGCGGUGUGGGAUGGGCCCGCGGCCUAUCAGCUUGUUGGUGGGGUGAUGGCCUACCAAGGCGACGACGGGUAGCCGGCCUGAGAGGGUGACCGGCCACACUGGGACUGAGAUACGGCACAGACUCCUACGGGAGGCAGCAGCGGGGAAUAUUGCACAAUGGGCGCAAGCCUGAUGCAGCGACGCCGCGUGAGGGAUGACGGCCUUCGGGUUGUAAACCUCUUUUAGUAGGGAAGAAGCGAAAGUGACGGUACCUGCAGAAAAAGCACCGGCUAACUACGUGCCAGCAGCCGCCGUAA